GACGAACGCUGGCGGCGUGCCUAAUACAUGCAAGUAGGACGCAGUUGCGAACGGGUGAGUAACGCGUAGGUAACUACCUCUUAGAGGGGGCUAACAAUUGGAAACGAUAGCUAAUACCGCAUACUAGUAGAUGGACCUGCGUUGUAUUGGCAAGUAGGCAGGGUAAUGGCCUACCUAGGCAAAGAGACAUAGUCGACCGGUGUGGGUGAUCGGGCACACCGGGACUGGGACAAGGCACAGACCCCUACAGGGAGCAGCAGUAGGGGAUCAUUGGCAAUGGGGGGAAACCUGACCGAGGAACGGCGCGUGAGUGGAGAAGGUUUUCGGAUCGUAAAGCUCUGUUGUUCAGGGAGCGGUACUUAACCAGAAAGGGACGGCUAACUACGUGCCAGCAGCCGCGGUAAUAC
rnacentral:rRNA from 1 species